UUUUUUCUUUUUUUCCAGAAUAUAUGCUAAAAUUAAUACAACCACACCAAGAAAAGUUUAAUGCAAACAAAUACAAACAAUUUUUAGAAAAAGAAAAAUUAAGUGAAAAGAUUAAUAUAAAUAACAUAAAUAUUGAUAAUGAAGAAGAGGUUGAGUUAUACGAAAAUUAUUUAUUAAAUUAUAAAUAUGAUAAAAAAAGAGUUGAAAGAAAUGCUUCUCUUCCUUUAUCCCUAUUAUCUUCUUCAUUCAUAAGAAGAACUAUAUAUUCUAAUAGAGAAGAUAUUUUAACAAAUAUUAAAAAAAUAAACUGGAAAAAAUAUUGUUGCAAUGUUAAAGGUGUAAGGUGGCAUGCUAGUGGAGCAUGGCGUGUUUAUUUUUGUAAAAGAAAUUAUCAACAUAAUUUUUUUGUUAAGUGUAACUGUUAUUUCCGUGUAAGUAUUUAUGGAUUUGAAAAAAGUAAAGAGCUCGCUGUUCUUUAUCGAAAAAGGCUUGAAUAUGAAUAUAUUCUACUCAUGAAAAAAUGGAGACAAAUUGAAAUGGAAAAUGCUCAAAAAAGAAAAAUAAAAAAACAUUUGAAAAACAGUAAUGAAAAUUUUGAGGAAGACACUGAGGAAUAUGAAAAAAAUGAACAACAUAUGAAUAAAAACUACAAUAAUGAAAAUUCAGAAAAUCAAAACCUCAUUUAUUAAAUUGAUUUUUUACAUGAAUAAUGUAGUAGAAGUUUUAUUCUAAACUUAAAAAAAAAAAAAUAUACAUACUAUAAAUUAAAUAUUUUUUUUUUUGUUUUUUUUUUUUUUUUUCCUUAAACUUAAAAUAGCUUUUAAUUUAUUCAUGUUUCUCUUUAUAAAUUUUAAUUUGUUACAUAUUUGAUUAUUUUUAUAUUUUCCUUAUUAAAGAUAUCAAUAUUUUAUAGACAAAAUGUACAUAUAUAUAUAGAUAUGUUUACUUAAUUCGAUUUCCCGGUCUUGUAAAUUUAAAAAAAAAUUCACCCACUUAUCAAAAUAAAUUGCAUUUUAGCGUAAUAUAAAAUUUAAGC
rnacentral:lncRNA from 1 species